GGGAGUCCCAUAGGGCGGCGCACAAUUGGCCCAGCAUUGUCUGGGUUAGGGCUUGGCCAGGGUAGUCUGUCAUUGUAAACAAUAAUUUGUUCUUAACUGUCUUGCCUAGUUAAAUAAAAGGUACUAUAUUUAUUGACUAUUAUAUGUAUCCUAUAAAUUAUAAUUGGCCAUUUGGGUGCAAUCAAUUGGAUUAAUUUCUCAGUGCUUUUUGAAGUGGAAUGACACCGUAGCAGAAAUGAACACGACGCAGACUCUUUUGGUUCUUUAAAAACCUGCACAGCCAGCCAGCUCUGCUGAGUUUCCUCCAUACAGGCAGCGAGAUGAGUCAGCGGAGAGCGCGCCGUGGGAUCCACAUGGACCAGUCGGAGCUGCUCUGCAACAAGUGCUGUGGUUACUAUGGCAAUGCGGCCUGGCAGGGCCUGUGCUCCAAGUGCUGGCGGGAAGAGUACCAGCGAGCCCGACAGAAGCAGAUCCAGGAAGACUGAGAAGUUAGUAGGCCCACCUGUGAAAGGCUGCAGAAGGAGGAGGAGGCUGCCUAUGCCAGUAUCCAGGGGGCCCAGUCUCAGCCACAGGCUCAACCCCAGGCCUCUCUUGCCCCCUUCUCCAAGUUCGAGGAAAGGAAGACCAAUGAGAAGACGUGCACGUGAAGAAGUUCUUCAGUCCCUCAUCACGGACAGCCCCCAAGAAAGCAGAGAACCAGGAGGGCAAGACCCCCAGCCCCUCGAUCAGACGCCAGUCCAGCAUCGAGAUAGACCGCUUCUCCAGAGACUUUGUGGAAUUUCUGAAGACCCUGCAUAAGCCAAGCUGAGAAGUCCACAUGCAGAGCAGUGCCUUCAUCGAGAUCAUGGCCAACAAAAAGGACUUAGGCGCUGAUGAGCUGUUUGAGUGUGUCCAAGACUUCUACCAGAACAUGUCUGACCGCCUCAUGACCAAUUUUAAAGGCACUUCAGAGCGUGUGGAGCAAGUGAUGGACGAGGUGGAGAAGUACAUUAUGACUCGCCUGUAUAAGAGCGUCUUCUGUCCCGAGACCACAGACAAUGAGAAGAAAGACCUGGCCACUCAGAACAGGAUACGGGCGUUACACUGGGUGGACAUUCAGAUGCUCUGUGUGCCAGUGGAUGAGGAGAUCCCAGCGGUAUCAGACAACGUGGUCAUAGCCAUAACAGACAUCAUCGAGAUGGACUCCAAGCGGGUACUAAGGGAGAGCUAGCGUGCAUCACGCGCUGCAGCAAGCACAUCUUUAGCGCCAUCAAGAUCACCAAAAGUGAGCCAGCCUCGGCAGACGACUUCCUACCCACCCUAAUCUACAUCGUACUGAAGUCCAAUCCACCACGCCUGCAAUCCAACAUCCAGUACAUCACCUGCUUCUGCAAUCCCAGCAGGCUCAUGAAUGGAGAGGACGGAUACUACUUCACUAACCUGUGCUGUGCAGUUGCCUUCAUUGAAAAACUGGACGCCCAGUCCCUCAACUUGGACCCUGUGGACUUUGAGAGCUACAUGUUGGGCCAGGCCUUCCCUCGCAGGCCAGAGGUGGACAGUGGCUGGCCACAGAUUGACACUGCCGCUUCCAUACCCGCCCUGGCCCAGGUCAACCAGAAUCUGGAUCUCCUGUCAGGCCUGCGGAGCCGGCAGGAAAGGGUUCUGGAGGUGGCGCAGAGCAUGCAGAGUGACCUGAUCACCUGGCAGGAGAGUGUAGAGCGAGAGGUGCAGGAAAUCCUGGAGAAGUACCCAUUGGAGAUCAGCCCACCUGCCCUCUCUGCGAUCGACUCAGACAACAUGGAAAACGACCGGCUGCCACUGACGCCCCAGGUUUUGCUGGGUAAUAUCUCUCCAGAAUGGGAGGCAAGAGGGCUUCUUGAACUAAUGAUCCCGCCUCUCUGUAAUGCUUUGAGCCGUCAUUGGCUCUUUACUAUGGCGAGGUUCAGGAAUUGGCAGCCCCCUCGUGUCUAUACUGCUACCAUUUUAAACAUUCUCACACACUGUAAGCCAAGUAGGCUUUUGUCCAUUUUUCCCCUAGACCCUUUCCCAAAAGCAUUCACAGAUCUAAAUUAAUAGAUAAAAGGAAGGACUAAGUUAAGGGACCUUUAAUGGAACCAAGUCUUUACAAUGUUCCUGCAUACACAUACUCCUUUUAGACUAGCCCUCUUCAGAUCAGAUGGCCUGAGUUGGCAUUGGGCCCUAAUCUGUACUCCUCUACAUCCCUGCUGCACUGACACAGAUGGCACACCUUGAUACCGUAAGAUAACUUCUCCACCUUGUCGUGCUGAGGAAAGAGGCAUCUUACUUUUAGAUGGCUGCUGGUGAAUUUGGGAAAUGCUGACUAACAUUUAGUUAUUCUUCAGAUAGAGUGGUACAUGUUACAAACUGUGAAACCUAAAGAGUGACCAAGACUCAAGUUACUGUGUUAUGUACAAAAUGCCAGUGAACUGCUGAUAUGGAUUGUGGCAUGUUGUGCAUCAUAGAAGUAAUUGUGAAAGAUGGAUGAUACCUGGGGAAGAUGGAUGAUACCUGGGGAAGAUGGAUGAUACCUGGGGAAGAUGGAUGAUACCUGGGGAAUGUUCAGUAAGGUGAAAUGCUCAGAUCAAUGCAGAUUAUUUUGUAUAUGUUUAAGGAACACUUAACAGUUCAAUUUGAUUACAGCGUGAUAUUUACUCUAUUACUACAUGCCUUUUCUAUCUGCAAUUCAUUUAACAUUUGAAUCACCUGAAUAAGCCCCAGAUUGUAAUACUUCAACAUCACUCACUCUGCUGUCACACAGACAUAUGUACUCUACUUAAACACUGUAAUCAACUGUGACUGACUGCUGAGUCUCUAAAAGAUUUGUAAACAAGUGUGUGUAUAUUUGUCAACUUUUAAACUGAAUGGCACAUCACUAUUUUAUUAUGGAAAUGUAAUUUAUAAGAAUUGCCUUGUUUUACAGUGUGUAUUUAAUUGCCGUUCAAUGAAUAAACCCCAGGAAUGCAAAUCUAGUGGGGGUUUUUCCUCCUGCCUCACACCAUUUCCACCCAUACUGCUGAUGUUCUGCUUGGUCAAAAUCCCAUCUGGUUUGCGCUUACUGGGAUUAUAAUUUGCAUAUGUGCAAACUCCUUCUAGACAGUUGGAAAAGCAUUCCUCAUGAAGCUGGUUGAGAGAAUGUCAAGAGUGUGCAAAUCUGUCAUCGGGGCAAAGGGUGGCUACUUUAAAGAAUAUGAAAUAUAUUUU